rnacentral:misc_RNA from 1 species
GAGCUGGUGGUGUUUCAAUCCAGGUAUUGCAAUGGAGCAGUUCUCCAGAUUAGGUGUUGGAUCUAUCAUUUUGACUUCUGGCACAUUAUCUCCAAUGGAUUCCUUUGCUGAGGAAUUGAAGUUAGAUUUUCCAGUCCGUUUAGAGAACCCUCAUGUUAUAUCAGACAAUCAGAUAUGGGCUGGUGCUGUACCCGUGGGCCCUUCUGGUUAUACAUUCAACUCAUCAUAUAGGACGCGUGAUUCUAUUGAAUACAAGCAAGAGCUUGGGAAUGC